AUAUUAUAUUCUGUGAUGCGGAGGCGAAAGAUCUAUGCAAAAUUCUUCUUAUUUUACAGUUUUGAAUACGUUAAUUCGUUAUAGUGAUAAUGGUAAUAUCGUGCUGUUUAUAUUGGUCUAUUCAUGGAUUUACUAGCUACAUUUAUUUGCAUACGCCAUACGAAAGCAAACGGCUGUGAAUCAAUCGGUAAUCGUCUGUACUAUAGUAAUUCGAAUCGAAUGUUCAUUAGGUCAACGAGUGUUGACUGUUACCCUGGUUUCAAACGUCUGGAUUUCGUCAAAGACUUUUUUGUAAGUGUUUGAAACAGCCUUACUGGUGUGUUUCAAUUUUUAACGUACGAACUACCAAGUAAACACUACUAUAAAUGUUGCCAUUUUUCACACUCCCACGCAUUGCGCGUGAGACUCACGUUGCGUGAAUGUCACCUCACGCGUGGGAAAUAGUGCUAAAAUAGAGUAGACAGAGACGGAUUUUCAUAUUUUCGUUCCGGGGGGUGGGGGAGGGUCUGCUGCUUGCUUUGACCGGGGCGUGGUGGCAACGCCCGGAAAGGCAAGGAAAAUGUUUAACAAAAUUUGUUUUCUAGGCCUGCAUGGCGAGAUCUGAGACCACAAUAUUGGUAAUUUUACAAAUUAGUAGUAAGAAUAAUCAAAUGUGAAACUAUCAAAUCAAAAUAUAUGUCAUUUGCGGGGGGUGACAAAUGCCUUUGGGGUGUAACAUUUCUGGGGUGCGCACCCCCCACCCCCCUCCGCACCCCCAGAAAACCUGUGCCUGGAGUGAGACAAUAGACAACUUGCAUGUUAGACUAAAUUUUAAUCUAAGUAAAGAGAAGGGAAUCAAACACAACACCACAGCUGAAAAGAACAUAAUGAAAUUAGUAAAAUGCAAAAUUUGGUUGCGAAAUGUUCUGCGCUUAUUGCUCUCAGAAGCCCUGGGAUAAUCCAAACCGAAACACCAUAGAACAUUGGUGCCCCGGGAAGCGGAAGUAAACAGUAGCUCCAGCUAAAAACGCUGACAUGGCAUAUUUUUAUGCAAGAGUGAUGCACCUAUCAUUGUUUUCCCCCUGAGGGGGGGAGGGGGGGGGAGGGUGCGGG